UGCUUACUGUGUGUCUAGUCCUGGGCUGUUUACUGAUGAUAUAGCUCAUUUUUCUCCUCACAACAGCAUUGUAAGUAGUGUUGCUGUUAUGUAGUUGCAGUUGAGGAAGCUGAGGCUUAGGGAAGAGAAGUUACUCGGCCACAGUCAUACAGGAGAAUCGGUGGAGUCCAGGUUGGGGUUCAAAUCUCUAUCACUCCACACCCCCUGUCCUGGCUGUUAGGUUCUGCUGGUCCCUGGGGCUCAGAGAGAAGUGACUGAGGGAACAGGAGCCCUUGCUAAGUCAUGUGAGGGAGAGUGUGGUGGCAGAGUCCCAGCCAGCAAGGAAAAGUAGUCCUGAGACAUGCUGCUUUUGUUUUGUAACCUCUUCUGUGAAGCACCAGUGGACUGAAGUCAGAAUGGGAGCCCUCAGGAAUCUCCUUCCUGGGCCCUGGGCCUUGUGCACCCAGGGUGAAUGCGGGUGCUCCUCCUAGGGGAGCCAGUCCGCUGGGAGACCAGCCUGCAGCUGAUCAUGGAUGUCCUCCUCAGCAAUGGGAGCCCUGGGGCUGGCCUGGCGACACCCCCCUACCCCCACCUCCCUGUCCUAGCCAGCAACAUGGAUCUCCUGUGGAUGGCUGAAGCCAAGAUGCCCAGGUUUGGACAUGGCACCUUUCUGCUGUGCCUGGAAGCCAUUUACCAGAAAGUGACAGGCAAGGAGCUGAGAUACGAGGGCCUGAUGGGCAAACCCAGCAUCCUCACUUACCAGUAUGCCGAGGACCUGAUCAGGCGACAGGCGGAGAGGCGGGGCUGGGCCGCCCCCAUCCGGAAGCUCUAUGCUGUGGGUGAUAACCCUAUGUCUGACGUAUAUGGCGCCAACCUGUUCCACCAGUACCUGCAGAAGGCAACGCAUGAUGGGGCGCCAGAACUGGGGGCCGGGGGCCCACGGCAGCAACAGCCCUCAGCAAGCCAGAGCUGCAUCUCCAUCCUGGUGUGCACAGGCGUCUACAAUCCCAGGAACCCACAGUCCACGGAGCCUGUCCUUGGAGGAGGGGAGCCUCCAUUCCACGGGCACCGAGACUUAUGCUUCAGUCCAGGGCUCAUGGAGGCCUCCCACGUGGUGAAUGACGUGAAUGAGGCUGUGCAGCUGGUCUUCCGCAAGGAGGGCUGGGCUUUGGAGUGAGGGCAGUGCGGUGGAGGUGAGGGGGUGAGCCUGGACCUGUGGGCGAGUCCCAUCAGCUGGGCUCUGGCCUGAUCACUGGGCUCAGGUCAGGGCUUGAUUCCCUUGCCACCCUUCUUGCUGCCCCAUGAGUGUGGCAUUACUGGUCACUUGGAAGAAGACAGUGGCUCUUCUUCCCUGCUGGGUAGCAUUUUGUAUGGAACGGUCGGAAUUUUCUGGGCCCAGUUCCCAUGUGCCUUUCCUGGCAGUCUAACCUCAGGCCAUUCUCUUCCCCCGUGUGCCUCAGUGUCCUUCUCACUUCAGUAGGGACUUCUGAAAUGGGGGAGGCAGUGUAGAAUACUGUGGACGUCUGUGCAGAGCCUUUGCCGGCACUGAAGGCAUGCAGCCUGUCGGCAGAGUGUCUAACACCAGAUGCUACUUUUUACUGUAUUGUAGUUUAUU
rnacentral:sRNA from 1 species